GGAAUAUUGGUCAAUGGGCGCUAGCCUGAACCAGCCAAGUAGCGUGAAGGAAGAAGGCUUUCGGGUUGUAAACUUCUUUUCUCAGGGACGAAGAAAGUGACGGUACCUGAGGAAUAAGCCACGGCUAACUACGUGCCAGCAGCCGCGGUAAUACGUAGGUGGCAAGCGUUAUCCGGAUUUAUUGGGUGUAAAGGGCGUGUAGGCGGGAGCGCAAGUCAGAUGUGAAAACUCAGGGCUCAACCCUGAGCCUGCAUUUGAAACUGUGUUUCUUGAGUGCUGGAGAGGCAAUCGGAAUUCCGUGUGUAGCGGUGAAAUGCGUAGAUAUACGGAGGAACACCAGUGGCGAAGGCGGAUUGCUGGACAGUAACUGACGCUGAGGCGCGAAAGCGUGGGGAGCAAACAG
rnacentral:rRNA from 1 species